AUCAAUUUCUCACCCAAACCACACACACACCUCUCGGUCCCUCUCUCCCUCGUCGACGUCUGACCACCGGUAAAUCGAUGGAGCCGGCGACUCCCCUCUCUCCGGCGACUUUCACCUGCAACACCCACUCCCUUUUCACCGAUCGUACCCCCCCCCUGUGUUGAUUAUCGGCUGAUGGUGGUGGCGGCACGGCAUCAACGACAGAGAACCGGCAGAGCCGGUGGUGGUGCGGCGGCUGCUAUCAGGGAGGAGAGAGAGAGACUCGGAGGAAAGAGAGAGCGGCGGUGGUGGUGGAUCCUCACGGCGGCGACGGUGGCGGCGUGGUUUUGUUCAGCGGCGGAGGUGGAUGCGGGACCCACAACAGGUGGCAGUGGAUGGUGUCGAUAGGCAGCAGAUGAAAGAGAGAGAGAGCUGAGAAGAAUGAAAGAACCGGCGGUCGGUGCCUUUGACCGCCGGACAUUGUGUUUAUCCGGCAAAGUUCACCGGUUUCGGGUUGUUCAAGUCUUGAUUCAGAUCCGAAGUGGUUCGAGUCUUGUUCGGGUCUCGCGGCACGGUUCAAAACGGGUCAGCAGCUCAGUCAAACGGCUCGGUUCGGUUUGACUCGGUCAAACCGAGUCAACUCAGUGUUCGGGUCAGCCGGUUCGCAACAGUAAAUGAUUUUGGUUUCAGUUCAGAUUCGCAUAUGGGGCUCGCAGAUCAAGUCUUGCGAUUCGGCCCGGGUCGACUCGGUCAAACCCGAGUCAACUCGGUUAACGCAGUCAAAGCAAGUCAACUCAGUUGACUUGGUCAACCCAGUCAACCCUUUCAGCAAUCGACACGAGAGUUUUGGGUAAUAGUUAAAGCCGUGGUUUCGUUAUGUUAUUUUUAUAAUUUUUAUCUAACGUGACAAACGAGCUCGAACCGACUAACGAAUCUGCAUUUAGUGAGUUGAUUAUUCAUAUUUGGCAUUUUGAUAAA